GGGACAUCCAGAUAGAAAUCUGUAUCUGACUCGUCGAGCUUGCCCCAAAGUUUAAGCUGUUUUCGCGCUGCUUUAAUAGCUGCUCUUGUUGCACAAUGAACUGAGGACGCCAAAAGCAGUGGUGGUUCACCAGAUGCUUUAGACGAGAGAAUACGUUUCUCGUGAUGUCCAGUGUUUAGCACUUGAACAUUGAAACGUUUGGGUAUUGUGUCG
rnacentral:misc_RNA from 1 species